rnacentral:rRNA from 1 species
CUACGGGUUGCAGCAGUGGGGAAUUUUGCGCAAUGGGGGAAACCCUGACGCAGCAACGCCGCGUGAAGGAUGAAGGCCUUUGGGUCGUAAACUUCUGUCAGAGGGGAAGAAAUGCCCGCAAGGGAGCUGACGGUACCCUCAAAGGAAGCACCGGCUAACUCCGUGCCAGCAGCCGCGGUAAUACGGAGGGUGCAAGCGUUGUUCGGAAUUAUUGGGCGUAAAGAGCAUGUAGGCGGACUGUUAAGUCUGGUGUGAAAGCCCGGGGCUCAACCCCGGAAGUGCAUUGGAUACUGGCAGUCUUGAGUAUGGGAGAGGAAAGUGGAAUUCCGAGUGUAGGAGUGAAAUCCGUAGAUAUUCGGAGGAACACCAGUGGCGAAGGCGGCUUUCUGGACCAAUACUGACGCUGAGAUGCGAAAGCGUGGGGAGCAAACAGGAUUAGAUACCCCUGUAGUC